AAGCAUAUCAAUAAGCGGAGGAAAAGAAACCAACAGGGAUUGCCCUAGUAACGGCGAGUGAAGCGGCAACAGCUCAAAUUUGAAAUCUGGCUCUUUUAGAGUCCGAGUUGUACUUUGCAGAGGGCGCUUUGGCUUUGGCAGCGGUCCAAGUUCCUUGGAACAGGACGUCACAGAGGGUGAGAAUCCCGUACGUGGUCGCUGGCUAUUGCCGUGUAAAGCCCCUUCGACGAGUCGAGUUGUUUGGGAAUGCAGCUCUAAAUGGGAGGUACAUUUCUUCUAAAGCUAAAUAUUGGCCAGAGACCGAUAGCGCACAAGUAGAGUGAUCGAAAGAUGAAAAGCACUUUGGAAAGAGAGUCAAACAGCACGUGAAAUUGUUGAAAGGGAAGCGCUUGCAGCCAGACUUGCUUGCAGUUGCUCAUCCGGGCUUUUUUGCCCGGUGCACUCUUCUGUAGGCAGGCCAGCAUCAGUUUGGGCGGUAGGAUAAAGGUCUCUGUCACGUACCUCCUUUCGGGGAGGCCUUAUAGGGGAGGCGACAUACUACCAGCCUGGACUGAGGUCCGCGCAUCUGCUAGGAUGCUGGCGUAAUGGCUGUAAGCGGCCCGUCUUGAAACACGGACCAAGGAGUCUAACAUCUAUGCGAGUGUUUGGGUGUCAAGCCCGAGCGCGUAAUGAAAGUGAACGGAGGUGGGAACCCGCAAGGGUGCACCAUCGACCGAUCCUGAUGUCUUCGGAAGGAUUUGAGUAAGAGCAUGGCUGUUGGGACCCGAAAGAUGGUGAACUAUGCUUGAAUAGGGUGAAGCCAGAGGAAACUCUGGUGGAGGCUCGCAGCGGUUCUGACGUGCAAAUCGAUCGUCAAAUUUGGGCAUAGGGGCGAAAGACUAAUCGAACUAUCUAGUAGCUGGUUCCUGCCGAAGUU
rnacentral:rRNA from 1 species